rnacentral:rRNA from 1 species
GACGAACGCUGGCGGCGUGCUUAACACAUGCAAGUCGAACGGAAAGGCCUGCUUUCCCUUGUGGAUUGCGGGUACUCGAGUGGCGAACGGGUGAGUAACACGUGAGUGAUCUGCCCCCAACUUGGGUAUAAGCCUGGGAAACUGGGUCUAAUUCCCGAUAGGACUGCAGGGUGGUGCCUGUGGUGGAAAACGAUUUUCUAGUGGUUGGGGAUGAGCUCGCGGCCUAUCAGCUUGUUGGUGGGGUAAUGGCCUACCAAGGCGGCGACGGGUAGCCGGCCUGGGAGGGUGGACGGCCACAUUGGGACUGAGAUACGGCCCAGGCUCCUACGGGAGGCAGCAGUGGGGAAUAUUGCACAAUGGGCGGAAGCCUGAUGCAGCGACGCCGCGUGGGGGAUGACGGCCUUCGGGUUGUAAACUCCUUUCGACCGCGAGGAAGCCACCUGGUUGGAAGGGUGGUGACGGUAGUGGUAGAAGAAGCACCGGCUAACUACGUG